rnacentral:rRNA from 1 species
AGAGCGAACGCUGGCGGCAGGCCUAAAACAUGCAAGUCGAACGAGCCCUUCGGGGCUAGUGGCGGACGGGUGAGUAACACGUGGGAACGUGCCUUUUGGUUCGGAACAACUCAGGGAAACUUGAGCUAAUACCGAAUAAGCCCUACGGGGGAAAGAUUUAUCGCCAUUAGAGCGGCCCGCGUCUGAUUAGCUAGUUGGUGAGGUAAAGGCUCACCAAGGCUACGAUCAGUAGCUGGUCUGAGAGGAUGAUCAGCCACACUGGGACUGAGACACGGCCCAGACUCCUACGGGAGGCAGCAGUUAGGAAUCUUGCGCAAUGGGCGAAAGCCUGACGCAGCCAUGCCGCGUGAAUGAUGAAGGUCUUAGGAUUGUAAAAUUCUUUCAGUGGGGAAGAUAAUGACGGUACCCACAGAAGAAGCUCCGGCUAACUUCGUGCCAGCAGCCGC